rnacentral:lncRNA from 1 species
UAAGUCUCAUGAGAUCUGAUGGGUUUAUCAGGGGUUUCUGCUUUUGCUUCUUUCUCAUUUUCUCUUGCCACUGCCAUGUAAGAAGUACCUUUUGCCUCCCGCCAUGAUUCUGAGGCCUCCCCAGCCAUGUGGAACUGAGCUCCACCGAGCCCACGCCCACCUGGAACUCCCGCUGGCCCGCAAGAAUCGCGCGCAGCCCCGGUUCCCGCUAGCGCCCCUCCCUCCACACCUCGAGGCCGAGGCCUGUACAAAGGACAAGGAAAGCAUGGACUAACACAUCUCAGCUGUAAUUGAGUUUAGCCAGAUGUACCAGCUGUCUUCUCUCAUCUUCCCCUGGGGCUACAGCUUUUAUAGAGUGAUUGGAGUUUGCUUGAGUUCGUUUCCUUCAAGUCAUGGAUAAGAAAGCCAGGGUUUUGAGAGGUGAUGGAAGGCCUUUAUGUCAACAGAACAGAUGAAGAGAACUCAGAAUUACAAAAUUUGUUUCCAACUCCACUACACCCAUUUUUGGAAGAUCUGUUUUGAAUCCACGUUUCCAAGGAUGAUUUAGAAAAAGACAGCAAACUGAACAAAGCCCUGAGGAAAUAUUAACAAGUACAACCUUUCCCUGGAAGCAAUACACAUUUUCCUGGUGCCUGUUUAUUGUCACCUUUAUCUCCUUACUUGGGCUUGACAGCAAGUGGUGAACCAGGAUUUAUCUUGUUGAGGCUCAAAGCUUUAGUGGUGUUGUCAUUCGCCAGUAGCUCUGGUUCCUCUCAGCAAAAACAGUGGAAAACACUUUUAAUUGUAAAAUACAUUAUGUUUAACUUCCACUAAAAAAAAAAGAUGGUGAAGGAAAAAGUUUUUUGUGUUUUUAUUUUGUAGAUCAAAACCUAGUAUUUAUUUUGGAAAGAUGGGUACAGUUAUUUUUUCCCCAUGUUUGUUCUAUUCCCUUUAAGCUUCUAAAGGAACAAACAAAAAAUAGCUUAACUGAAACUAACAAAGGAUGAUGAAACACUUUUAAGUCUUCAAAAAGGUAAUAUUGGAUACUUGCAAUUGCUAGCAAUAUUUGGAGUUAAGGGAUAAUGUUUAAAACUCAACUGAACUUUCUUUACAGUUGUAAGGAUUUCUAAGAGUGAGAUUCUAGGCCC